UGUUCCGGGAAAGCCAGCACGUGGAACGUGUCAGCGUGUAUAUAAGACGGCAGCCAACUUUACAUUUCACAGUCAUCCAAAAACCUCCCAAUUCAACUGUCCUGUUGGUCCAACAUCGCAGUAGUACGGUAAUCAGUAUUUUACCAAAAGGAUGGGUGUGACUGAGUCUCGUCAGCGUUACUGUUUUCCUGUAGCUGAAGGAACGCAUGUCAACAAUUGCCGUAGAGUCUGCAUGAAGAUUCCAACUUCAAGAAAGGCCUGUUAUGACUACUCUUAGAUCACAUCGUGGAUGCCCUAAUGGUGAGAAAAGGUGAUCGUCUCCUACGCCCUCGGAAAUUUGCCGUACGGUAAUCAAGAAUAUCGCUGGAGCGUGGCAAAUCUGCUGACGUGUAAUAUAAGACUGUACUUAUCUAAGUAAUCAGUGACUGGAAGUAGACCCCAAUUAAAGUUUAAACUUUUUUCCACGAAAGGAUGUCCAAUCACAGGUAAAAACUACUUGGUAAAGGUAUAACUCGUAAACAAAACAAUUGUUACCAUUAUGAUGUCUACCUGAGAAUUCAUAAAGCUAUGAGUA